rnacentral:rRNA from 1 species
GAUGAACGCUGGCGGCGUGCCUAAUACAUGCAAGUCGAGCGAACAGACGAGGAGCUUGCUCCUCUGACGUUAGCGGCGGGCGGGUGAGUAACACGUGGAUAACCUACCUAUAAGACUGGGAUAACUUCGGGAAACCGGAGCUAAUACCGGAUAAUAUAUUGAACCGCAUGGUUCAAUAGUGAAAGACGGUUUUGCUGUCACUUAUAGAUGGAUCCGCGCCGCAUUAGCUAGUUGGUAAGGUAACGGCUUACCAAGGCGACGAUGCGUAGCCGACCUGAGAGGGUGGUCGGCCACACUGGAACUGAGACACGGUCCAGACUCCUACGGGAGGCAGCAGUAGGGAAUCUUACGCAAUGGGCGAAAGCCUGACGGAGCAACGCCGCGUGAGUGAUGAAGGUCUUCGGAUCGUAAAACUCUGUUAUUAGAGAAGAACAAAUGUGUAAGUAACUAUGCACGUCUUGACGGUACCUAAUCAGAAAGCCACGGCUAACUACGUG